rnacentral:rRNA from 1 species
UACGGAGGGGGCCAGCGUUGUUCGGAAUCACUGGGCGUAAAGGGCGCGUAGGCGGCUUUGUAAGUCAGUUGUGAAAUCCCUCGGCUCAACCGAGGAACUGCGACGGAUACUGGUCGGCUUGAGUCCCGGAGAGGGUAGCGGAAUUCCAGGUGUAGCGGUGAAAUGCGUAGAUAUCGGGAGGAACACCGGUGGCGAAGGCGGCUACCUGGACGGGUACUGACGCUGAGCGCGAAAGCCUGGGGAGCAAAC